AUUGAUGUUUGUAUAUAGAAAUGCACCUAAUCUGUGUAUAUUCAUCUUGUAUCUACAACCAAGAAACUCAAUGAACUUUGGUACUCUGUGAAUGCUAGAAAAAUAGUGAAAAUCAUGGAGCAACAAAAGAAUUAUCUUUUUUCUUAUGUGAAGUAUAUAUGGUCUAAUGUCGUUGUAAGAAGAGGAAGAGAAACCAGAGUUCUCUCUCCUGUGCAUACCAUCAAGGAAAGGUCAUGUGACUGACCAUGCUGGCAUCUUGGUCUUGGACUUCCAAGCCUCAAGAGCGGGCAUUUGAGAACUCACAAGAGAUGGUUCAUGUCAUUACUGGGGCUGAAGAAAUAAGAAAAAAGAAUGGUUAUUGGAAUCUGAAAACUGGGAGUGCCGAGUGGAUAGAGCUGUGUAACAGGACCUGUGGCCUUAGGCAAGUGACUUAGCCGUGCCAUGCCAACUCUGUUGGGAGAGUCAAGGAACUGGCUCUUACACUUUUGAGAUGCUCAACAAAAGCUGCGUGUAUG
rnacentral:lncRNA from 10 species